ensembl:ncRNA asRNA:CR45802 antisense RNA:CR45802
GUGGCUGUAAUCUAUAUUUAGUGAUUUUACAUGCGGUAUCUCAAAGAUAUUCGAAAUAUGUGUGCAUGAAUUGCGUGACAUGGCAAAUGGUUGCAAGAUUGUUUGAGAGAUCGCGAUCGCGUCUGCCCAUUUUGUAGCUAGCAAUUUUCCAGAUCGCUUGAGGAUCGAAAUGAUGCAUUUAGCCGAUGAUUAAUUAUGGAUUCAAUAUGGAAACAGCAUUCAAUCUGCGGUUCCUGGGUAAAAUCCGAAAUGGACACGGUCUUGGUGCUCACAUAGCUGAUGGACUCGAUCGUAGUCUCCCACUUCUGGAAUGUGUUGAUGGUGUCGCUUCGCAGUGCACGACUCGACUGGGAGUGAUUAUGACUUCUCAGUGGCGUCGAGGAGCGCAGCGACAUGGUCGAUGUGGCCGAACCCAUGGAGGAACUGGCCGGCGAACUGGUCGACGUGGAUGAGAACGACGCAGAUUUGCGCAAAGGCGUUUUAUUGACGCCAUUACCCAGGGGCUGAUCCGUGGCCUCCGGCGCCGGUUCCUCCUCGGUUAUUAGCAGGCUAUCCGUUUGAGUGCCUUGAUCUGCAGAAAUGUGCACGGAAAGAAAUGUCAGUGUUUCGUAUAUUUCUAAAAUCACCAUUUAAUUUACUUAGCCUAAGAUAUUACAUGUUAAUUAAGUAAUUAAGUAAUGGAACAAGCUUUCGAAUUUUCGACCCUUUUUUCCGUUCAGUGUAGGACUGGGAAUUUUGGCGAGUUAGAAACGCGGAAAUGAUUGGCUUCUUCAAUUUUUAUGACUGCACUGCUGCGUUUUUAUAUUCCUGCUCAAUUAGCUGAAAACAAUUAAAUUCUAGCGCCUUUCUGGCAAUUAGGCGAAUUCGUGUUUAUCCUAAAACUUAGCCCCGUGCUUUCAACGGCACAGAAAUCGCUGCACAUUUUCAGCACACCCAGUUGUCUAUUGUCUGCGAUUGUUCGCUGUUUUGUUUGCUAAUUUACAGCGUGCGUAGAAAUAAAUAUGUUGCC